GUUCCUUGCGGUGUUGUUCAUACUGUUUUUCCCACGCGUGGGGAGCGUUUCCCGAUGUGUGCUCCAAAAUCAUCCAGACCGCCUUCUUCGGAGAAAGGGUUGUUUGUUGUACCAGUUCAGCAAACCAGAAAUCUAGGCGGUACUUUUCGAAUAGAAACUCGACAUCAAAGGAAGUGAGAGAAACGGUAUGCAUGCGCACGACCUCGAAUUUCCGACAAUAUAGAAAGGCGAGAAACUCUCCCAUGUCAACCCAAUUCUCUCGACA
rnacentral:ribozyme from 1 species